rnacentral:rRNA from 3 species
GGGUUGUGAGGUUAAGCGACUAAGCGUACACGGUGGAUGCCCUGGCAGUCAGAGGCGAUGAAGGGCGUGCUAAUCUGCGAUAAGCGCCGGUAAGGUGAUAUGAACCGUUAUAACCGGCGAUACCCGAAUGGGGAAACCCAGUGUGAUUCGUCACACUAUCAUUAACUGAAUCCAUAGGUUAAUGAGGCGAACCGGGGGAACUGAAACAUCUAAGUACCCCGAGGAAAAGAAAUCAACCGAGAUUCCCCCAGUAGCGGCGAGCGAACGGGGAGGAGCCCAGAGCCUGAAUCAGCAUGUGUGUUAGUGGAAGCGUCUGGAAAGGCGCGCGAUACAGGGUGACAGCCCCGUACACAAAAGCGCAUGUGCUGUGAGCUCGAUGAGUAGGGCGGGACACGUGGUAUCCUGUCUGAAUAUGGGGGGACCAUCCUCCAAGGCUAAAUACUCCUGACUGACCGAUAGUGAACCAGUACCGUGAGGGAAAGGCGAAAAGAACCCCGGCGAGGGGAGUGAAAAAGAACCUGAAACCGUGUACGUACAAGCAGUGGGA